GGAAGGGACGCAGGACCGGGAAGGCGCUCGGCACCCGCGAGGAGUGGGUGGAGGAAGGAAAGCUAUCCUGAAGCUGGGACCUUAGCUCCCCAGAGAGGUGGCCCCGGGAAAGAUGGGCGUGGAGAACAGCGAGGCUCGAGGGGAGGGCUUGUGCCUCGGAUGCUGUUUGUGUCUCUGUUCAUCCUCGGCACUCGAAAGGCGACCGUAUGUGGAGUAGAGGGCCCCUUCGGCCCAAGUUUGCUAGGAUUCGUGUGUCCCAGGCUAGCCUCCAACUCAUUAUGGACCUCCAAAUGACUUUGAACCCUGCCUCUACCUCCCAACUUUAUUGGUGGUGAAAGAAGUAGAACCUAGGACCUUCUUGCCUGCUUGGCAAGUGUUCUACCACCCAGCGCCUUGAAUGGAAAUAAAGACUAGAAAAUUGAUGUGUA